rnacentral:rRNA from 1 species
CACGUAGGGUGCGAGCGUUGUCCGGAAUUAUUGGGCGUAAAGAGCUCGUAGGCGGUGUGUCGCGUCGGCCGUGAAAACCUGCAGCUUAACUGUGGGCUUGCGGUCGAUACGGGCAUCACUGGAGUUCGGCAGGGGAGACUGGAAUUCCUGGUGUAGCGGUGAAAUGCACAGAUAUCAGGAGGAACACCGGUGGCGAAGGCGGGUCUCUGGGCCGAUACUGACGCUGAGGAGCGAAAGCGUGGGGAGCGAACAGG